rnacentral:rRNA from 1 species
AUUGAACGCUGGCGACAUGCCUUACACAUGCAAGUCGAACGGCAGCACGGGUGCUUGCACCUGGUGGCGAGUGGCGAACGGGUGAGUAAUACAUCGGAACAUGUCCUGUAGUGGGGGAUAGCCCGGCGAAAGCCGGAUUAAUACCGCAUACGAUCUACGGAUGAAAGCGGGAGCCCUUCGGGCCUCGCGCUAUAGGGUUGGCCGAUGGCUGAUUAGCUAGUUGGUGGGGUAAAGGCCUACCAAGGCGACGAUCAGUAGCUGGUCUGAGAGGACGACCAGCCACACUGGGACUGAGACACGGCCCAGACUCCUACGGGAGGCAGCAGUGGGGAAUUUUGGACAAUGGGCGAAAGCCUGAUCCAGCAAUGCCGCGUGUGUGAAGAAGGCCUUCGGGUUGUAAAGCACUUUUGUCCGGAAAGAAAUCCUUGGCCCUAAUACGGUCGGGGGAUGACGGUACCGGAAGAAUAAGCACCGGCUAACUACGUG